AGCAGCCGCGGUAAUUCCAGCUCCAAUAGCGUAUAUUAAAGUUGUUGCAGUUAAAAGGCUCGUAGUUGAAUUUCGGGAUCAAUAUAUUGGUCGUGCCUCCGGUAUGCACUGGUAUCAUUGAUUUCUACCUUCUGACGAACUAUGAUGUCAUUAAUUUGGUGUCAUAGGGAAUCAGGACUGUUACUUUGAAAAAAUUAGAGUGUUUAAAGCAGGCACACGCUUGAAUACGUUAGCAUGGAAUAAUGAGAUAGGACGUUUGACCCUAUUUUGUUGGUUUCUAGGAUCGACGUAAUGAUUAAUAGGGAUAGUUGGGGGCAUUAGUAUUCAAUUGUCAGAGGUGAAAUUCUUGGAUUUAUUGAAGACUAACUACUGCGAAAGCAUUUGCCAAGGAUGUUUUCACUAAUCAAGAACGAAAGUUAGGGGAUCGAAGACGAUCAGAUACCGUCGUAGUCUUAACCAUAAACUAUGCCGACUAGGGAUCGGAUGAUGUUAAUUUUUUAAUGACUC
rnacentral:rRNA from 1 species